CAGAGUUCAUGCCCUUCGGGGUAGAUCUCCCACCCUUGUGUAUCAUUAUAGAAUGUUGCUUUGGCGGGCCGCGCCUAGUGUGCCUAGAUUCACGUCUAGCGUGCCCGCCAGAGGACCCCUAAACUCUGAAUGUUAGUGUCGUCUGAGUACUAUAUAAUAGUUA
rnacentral:misc_RNA from 1 species